GGGGAAAAAUCAAUAUACUUCUAAUGUCGAAUCAGGAUCAACUAGGACAGAAAUAAAGCAUUGGUUCGAACUCU
rnacentral:tRNA from 1 species